rnacentral:rRNA from 1 species
GACGAACGCUGGCGGCGUGCUUAACACAUGCAAGUCGAACGGAAAGGCCCUGCUUUUGUGGGGUGCUCGAGUGGCGAACGGGCGAGUAACACGUGAGUAACCUGCCCUUGACUUUGGGAUAACUUCAGGAAACUGGGGCUAAUACCGGAUAGGAGCUCCUGCUGCAUGGUGGGGGUUGGAAAGUUUCGGCGGUUGGGGAUGGACUCGCGGCUUAUCAGCUUGUUGGUGGGGUAGUGGCUUACCAAGGCUUUGACGGGUAGCCGGCCUGAGAGGGUGACCGGCCACAUGGGGACUGAGAUACGGCCCAGACUCCUACGGGAGGCAGCAGUGGGGAAUAUUGCACAAUGGGCGGAAGCCUGAUGCAGCAACGCCGCGUGCGGGAUGACGGCCUUCGGGUUGUAAACCGCUUUCGCCUGUGACGAAGCGGGAGUGACGGUAAUGGGUAAAGAAGCACCGGCUAACUACGUG